UGUAAGAGAGUUCUUACAGUGUCACCAACUAGAGGUUGGGGCGACACAGAGCACAUAGACAAGAAAAGAGGAAAACAUGAGUAUAGCGAGCUCAAUCAGAGCUGAAUUGAGGCGUGCAAGCCAGGAUUAAUUUUAGGAAAAUGGCUGAUGACUUCUCUUUUGAAAGUAGCUUUCCAUCGAGUAAUGUCAAGGGAUAUAUUCUCGAAAACCAGAGAAUUCCACUCAUGCCAUAUGCACCAGGCACCUAUCAUGAAGAUCUCCAAGAAGAAAGGAAUUUGGAGGCCGAGUACUGCCCUACCACCUAGAUAUAUCACCAGACAUCAUUGAGUUCAAUCUAUCCUAAUCUCAUCUCGAAGUACAGGAGAUGUGCCUGAGGAGCAGUGGCGGAUGUAGGGGGUGGACCGGGUGGGCCCUGGCCCACCCUAAGAUUGGCAAGACGGCGAGCUGUGCUGCUGUGACUACUACGAAGGCACAACGGCUGGCGGCAAGCAGAGGCUUGAGGUCACAUCAUGUAUCUGGAGACAGUUGCACAUUGCUAAGGACGUGAAGCCGUGUAGGGCACCAUAAUCCAUAUCCGCUCGACGACGCUCCAUAUCUGCUCGGCAGCGCUCAGAGCUUGUGCUCAAAGCAACGAAGCACCUUCACGGCUUCACUGUAAUUUGCUUAUUUGCAAGCACCAAGUAGCAAGCUAAUGGUAAUUUUGCAAUUUGGUAGCUUGCACAUUGGUAGCUAAUUUGCUAAAACUUAUAUCAUUCAGUUCAAUACGAUUGCUGUGAAUUUUUAA